GCAUUUUCUGUCCUGUUUAUGCUGCUAUACCAACAGUAGUAGAUUAAACUUUUUUUUCUUUGUGUCAGUCUAGGCGAAGUUACUGACGCAUAGAUAAUACAUCCAGCCACACCUGUGUUCACCUGAACAUGUCUUAAAGCUUUAGUUUGCUGGAACAUAAAGGAUAAAAUUGUGAUUCCUGAGGGUAUUGUCUUUUUUAAAAGUCUGUCUGUGUACCUGCCAAAAGACAGGGGAGUGGCUCGGCAUAAAAUCCUACCCAGAACUCCUGUGGAGACUUGCUGGUCAAAGGAGAGAGAAUAUCAGAAAGAAAACAGCAGAAGUCAGGUAACAACAUUCAUACUGCACAGGUGAAGUUCACAGGCAACUCUUAAGUGGACUUUAUCUAAAAUCCCUUUCUCUUCAGAUUCUCAAGGAUCAAAGCAUGGAAUGGAUGAUUUAAGACAGCAAAGAAACUAUUCAGGAGGAAGUUCAGGAGAGAGAGGCAUCACAGAAACAAUUUCUACUACUAGAAUUACAUCUUUACCGCCACGAGGCUUCAGUGCAUCCGCCAACAAGGGCAUGUCAAGCACCUCUGGGUCUCCUGGUCUGGAAAAGGACAUUUUGAUUCAGAACAACAGCAGUUCUUUUUUUUCAUCCUGUAAGCCAAUCUAGCAUUAUUUUUUAAGAGUUACGCAAUAAUUAGUUUCAGGUUUUACUCUGAUACAGUCUUUAUACUAUAUAUUAUAUGUUUAAUAUUUAAAACAAACUCAUAUAUUUCGUCCCUGUUUGUGUGUCUCAGCAUCUGUGGGUGUGAGUGCAGGUGGGUUAGGCUCUGGAUCAGGAGAAUAUCUGGCAGAGGAGACAACUGUGAGCAGGAAGACAGGUGGUGCCUCUGGAGUUUUCGAGAGUGUCUCUGGAUCGGGAACUGGGUCGAGGCUGAGAUCCAGCUCCACUGAUGGCAUGAGAAGAACACAAGACUCCCCUUUGUUUGUGGAGAGGAAAAGCAAAACUACUCAUUCACGUCGUUAUGAUGGUUAGUCACAGCUGAGACACCUUAAAUAAAUAAAUAAAUACUUUUUUAGCAUUUGUUUUGUCAGUCCCUCAUAAUUACACUAACAUGUAAUAUAUAUA
rnacentral:lncRNA from 1 species